CUAGGUGGCGAGAAGUCAGCCGGGAGCGAGCCUUGUGGAGGGUGUGUGAAAAAUGCCUUUCUCCCGUCAGAGAAACCAGACCCGUGAUCUCUUGAAUUUAUUAUAGCUGGUUUGCCAUUGUGCAAUAGUCAGGGAGGUAUGCAAUCCAGUUUCUAGGCGAACACGGCCACUCAGAGCAAGGACUAACAACACAGCGAUUCGUCUCAGUUUUGUGCAUGGUUACAUUCCGAGUAGUGACGAUCGGUUCUAGGCGGAUCAAGUAGUGAGUGAUACGAAUCUUUUUUUGAGUUGCAUUGGAAUACGCUGCCAGCUACAGUUUUGAAAGGGAAACGAUUCGCCACAAUUGCAGACAUGGGCGCUACAACUUGAAGAUAGACUAGGCAAACUGUUGCGGAUACAAGGAAAAAUAACGAACAUAGCCUAAUUUUCUUGUUACCCACCGACAUUUUAUUGGAGCUAUCUAGCAGCUGAAGAAUACGGAAUCAAAUACACAAUUCUAACCACGGGUAGAGUCAAAGACCAACAGACAGACCGAGAUACACACAGAGCAGAAGCUAAAGGGGAGAGGAAGGCUGCCUGUCAGGGUCUCGUUGACCCCCCCGUUCCUCCGAUGAACCCCCUCAACUCCAUGAAACCCGGUCUGCCUCCCACUCCGCACAGUGACGGUAACUUCCUGUAUGACUCUGCCUCCUGGCAACAAGGCACCAAUCAACAGCCAGGAGCACUCUCCGUGGUAACUACUGUCUGGGGCGUGACCAAUCCCUCGCACAGCCAGGUGUUUGGAGCGCCCAUGGGUCCGGGCGGGAACUCUGGAGGUCACAUGAUGCAGAGCAGCAGUGGAGGUGGGGGGAUGAGUCCCGGUAUGAGCCACCAGUACCAGAGCUACGGUGAUAAGGGCUACGGACAACCAGGCCUUUACGGCCGCCCCAACACCGCCUAUAACCAAGCACCGCCAUACGGACAGAGUUACUCUAAUAAUGGUGGUGGCGGAGGAGGUAUGGGCCAACGCCCUCCCUCUGACUUCACCCAGGCUGCUGCCGCCGCGGUUGCCGCUGCCGCAGCCACGGCGACCGCCACUGCUACGGCUACUGUUGCUGCCAUCCAGGAGAAGCAGAACCAGGAACUGAACUAUGGCCAGAUGGGUGGAGGCCCCUCCUACAGUACCCAGUUCCUGUCCCACCAGGGCCCCCAGCAGGGUGGCCCCCGCGGCCCCCCGGGCAUGAGCCCCAGUGGGAUGGUCCAAUCCCGGCCCGGGCAGCACCCCUCCAUGGGGGGCAUGGUAUACCCUUCGCACCCCUCCCAGGGUCAGGGCCAGAGGAUGCCCCAGCAACACCCAGGCUACCCAGGAGGCCAACAACAAGGGCUCAAACGCCCCUACCAAUCAGAGGGUUUCCCAGGGCAGCAGCAGUAUGGUUCAGGGGGGAUGUCUCCGUACCACAGUGGCCAGCCCCUCCAGUAUCCCCCUGGCCCCCAGCAGCACCAGCCCCAGUCCCCCUCCUACCACCCCAGCCAGCGUAUGCCCCCAAUGGGGCAGUACCAGCAAGGUCCACCCAAUCCUGCACAGUACUACAAGCAGGAGCCUCAGUAUAACGGGCAGCAGGGUAACAUGCCAGCAGGAGCAUCAGGAGGCUACAAUGCCUUCACACAGGCUGCUGUCAAUGCGCAGGGUAGCCUGGUGAUGCCGGGGUACCCCAGUUCUCCUCUGGGUGGUAACCCCACCCCUCCCAUGACUCCGGGCAGCAUGCCCCCCUACCUCUCCCCCGGUGGGCCAGGACCAGACACCAAGCCCCCCUACCUCCCCCAAGGCCCCGACGUCAAGCCCAACAUCAACUCCCUUCAGCCCCCCACUGGUAACCCUAGCGACGACCUGCGGCUGACCUUCCCGGUGCGCGACGGCGUGGUGCUUGAGCCGUUCCGAUUGGAGCAUAACCUGGCGGUCAGCAACCAUGCCUUCCAGCUGCGAGACUCCGUCUACAAGACCCUCAUGAUGAGGCCGGACCUGGAGCUGCAGUUUAAGUGUUAUCACCAUGAGGACAGACAGAUGAACACUAACUGGCCCGCCUCCGUACAGGUACAAUCACACUUACAGGUGUCUGGUCCUUGCUUACAGGUGAGUGUGAAUGCCACACCGCUCACCAUCGAGAGGGGCGACAACAAGACGUCCCACAAGCCCCUCUACCUCAAGCAGGUGUGUCAGCCGGGACGCAACACCAUCCAAAUCACUGUCACCGCCUGCUGCUGCUCCCACCUGUUUGUGUUGCAGCUGGUCCACAGGCCGUCAGUACGCUCGGUUCUUCAGGGAUUAAUGAAGAAGAGACUACUGCCUGCAGAGCACUGUGUCACUAAGAUUAAGAGGAACUUCAGUAGUGGGACCAUCCCCGGGACCCCAGGGCUGAACGGAGAGGACGGUGUGGAACAGACGGCAAUCAAAGUCUCCCUGAAAUGUCCUAUCACCUUCAGGCGCAUCCAGCUGCCUGCACGCGGGCACGACUGUAGACACAUACAGUGUUUUGACCUGGAGUCGUACCUGCAGUUGAACUGUGAGAGAGGGACCUGGAGAUGCCCUGUGUGCAAUAAGACGGCGCUACUGGAGGGCCUAGAAGUGGACCAGUACAUGCUGGGCAUUCUAAUAUACAUACAGAAUUCGGACUAUGAGGAGAUCACCAUUGACCCAGUGUGUGGCUGGAGGCCGGUGCCCGUCAAACCAGAUAUCCACAUAAAGGAGGAAGCAGACGGACCGGUGUUGAAGCGCUGCCGGACGGUCAGCCCCAGUCACAUGAUGAUGCCCAGCGUCAUGGAGAUGAUCGCUUCCCUGGGACCAGCCUCACCCUACCAGGGUCAACCACCAGGGGGCAGGAACACACCUGACUACAGCAGCCAAGCAGGCACAGGAUACUCCAGCCAGUCAGGCUUCUCUGACUUCCCCAACACCCCUGGAACUCCCACCCUGAGAGACUUCACCUCCCCCGGGCCCCCUAACAUCUACCAACAGGACCAGAUGUCCCAUUCUGGCCGUAUGGACCCUUCCCAUAAUGCCCUGCAGCAGCAACAACAACAGCAGCACCAGCAGGGUGUCCACGGUAACCAGAGUCUCGGAAGCAGCGUUGGCGGACAGAUGCAGCAGCGGAACUCCAAUACCCAGAAUGCCCGGCUACAGGCGGAGGGCUCGUUCGGCCAGGGGGGUCCAGGAGGAACGGGGGUAGCGGGAGGAGGAGAGGGAGCGGAUCACGCCUUGGAUAAACAGUUUGAAGAUUCAACACCAAUGACGAAGUGGUGAUAAUUCAUGCAGGUGUGAGUUAAGAGUGUACAUAUGAUGCAUGCGAUGCCAUUAUGAUUUUUAGCCGUGGGCUCUGUUCCAAUAUCCACUCUAGCAAUAUCACUUAGACUGAAGUCCUAUAUUGGGCAUGCUGCGCAUGCAUCCUAAGUGAUAUUACUAGUGUGGAUAUUGGACUGUGGCCCUGUGCCCAUGUGGGUGGUCUUAUACUAACCCCCACCCUCCCUCUUUUACUGGGGACGGGGCGAACCGGGUGCAAGGGAGGAACUUCCACAGAUCAAUCUACUACGACAACCCUUCUCCCUGAGCUGACCAAUCCAGAUGAGCUGUUGUCCUACCUAGGUCCUCCAGAUCUACCUAGCAACAACAACGAUGACCUGCUCUCUCUGUUCGAGAACAACUGAAGACUCCCUUCUCGUUAAGGGACAGCUUCAUCCUUCUAGAGGGGGGCAAAAAGAAGAGAGUGGGUACAGACCGAGGGAUCCAUGUUUGUAUACUCUCUGUGGACCAGACCAACAGGCUUUCCAAGGGAAGGUGUAGGUAGUGAGAGAGACAUGACUGUUUCUGUCUGGGAACUCUGUCAAGACUAUAUUGUUUUUAGACUUAAUGUAAAGCGUCCCAUUGCACUCUGGAUCCAUCAAGUACGUUUUUAAAAAAUUCUGAGAAAGAGAAUGACUGUCUGACACAUGGGACUGCCUGCACAGGCCAGCCGCUAGAAUUGUAAUUCAAUGUUCUCAAAAAAUCACAAGUCGAAGGAUUUAACUUUUUAAAGGAUAUUUUUAGAAACAAGAAAAAGAAAGUGUAAUGUUGACUUUCCAUUGUGUAUUUAUGAUUGUGGAUCUCUGUUGACUUGUCAUAAAGAAAGUAAGAGGUGGUGUUCAUCCUAAAGAGGAGUUAUGAAUGCUGAAAUCAGGAUAUGCAGCCUCACACCUGGGCAGGACAUACAGUACUCGGCUUACUGUAUCUAUACUUACUUACACUGAUCUAGACUUGUAGAGCAAGAGAUACAGAGAGAGAGGUGUUGUUUUUCUACUGGGUAGGGCACAAAGAGAAGGUAAGGGGGGUGGGAGGAGAAGAGGGUUAGUCGGAUGAGUCCGAAGCCAGAUGGGGAACUCUCACCUCCAUUCACACCCUGUCUCUGGUAAUCCUCCCUUCUCUCUUGCUCUCCCUCCUUCACGAUAACAACUAUACUGCUGAGACAUUUAAACAUGCACAAUUGUACACACAUACACUUUCAAGAAGGGAUCCCCAGUAAAGUCCUGUGUGUUGAUGGAGAGGGGGAGAAGUUGUUUCCCUUGUGUCAGGGAGUGAAUGUGUAUUCUCUCUCUUCCUCCUCUCCAGCCCAUCUCUUUCCAGCCCCGUAACACACAUUUGAAACAAUACCACGGUUUAAACGACCUUUCUGCUUCCUCUCUCUUGGUCUUUAUCUACCUGUCCCCACUCCUUUCUGAGGUUGUCAUUGGUUUGUAAAGUGUUUUAUAAUCAUGACCAUAUUGUUAUUAGAGUAAUUCCAGAGGUGGUGAAGCUGUUUCCUUUCUGUCCGAUGUUUGUUUAACCUAGCAGAGGUCAUGAGUUCAGAAAUAUGUCAAAUUCAUGAUGUCAGCCGACGUACGGGGGCCUGCAUUCACAAAAUGUCUCAAGGUCCUGAUCUAGGAUCAGUUUUCCUUUUCAGACCAUAAUUAAUACAAUUAUAUGGGGGGGUCUUGGUCCUAGAUCAGCCCUCCUAUUCUGAGAUGCUUUGUGAAUACAGGCCCUGGUUACUAUACCAGACUGUACAAGGGAUUUCAGAGACAACACCACAUCUGCUAGGUAACAAUUGUUCAUGUUUUAUUGUCUAGAUGAUGAUGAUGCUUAAGAGGCCCAUGUCAGUGAAUACAAUGAAUACACUGGUAAAUUGUCCUAUUAACUGCACACCCGUUUUUCUAAACAUGUGAAAUAUUUCCAUUAUGUUUUAUAAGUAAAAAAAAUGUCACUUCUGA